rnacentral:rRNA from 1 species
CUGAAACAAAUCCUAAGGACCAGGUCAAAGCAAUCACUACACGUAGUGGCGUCUAGUUACCAGACCGAUUGAUGUUGAAGAAUCAGUGGAUGAGUUGUGGUUAGGGGUGAAAUGUCACUCGAACCCAGAGCUAGCUG